rnacentral:rRNA from 1 species
AGAGAGCGGCGCACGGGUGCGGAACACGUGUGCAACCUACCUUUAUCAGGGGAAUAGCCUUUCGAAAGGAAGAUUAAUGCCCCAUGGUAUAUCAAAUGGGAUCCUUUGUGAUUGAAAACUCCUGUGGAUAUAGAAGGGGACUGCGAAUAAUUAAUUGUUUGUGAUGUAACCGCUCUCCCAGUCAAUGAUUUUUAAGGGGUCCGGAAGGGUGAUCCCCCACACUGGUACUGGAACACGGACCCAAACCCCACCGGAGGGCACCAUGGAGAAUAUUGGACCAUGGGAGAGAGCCUGAACCCACCCUUCCGCGGGGAGGAAGACGGCCCUAAUGGUUGGAAACUUCUUUUGGAACGGGAUAAACCUACCCUCGUGAGGGGGGCUUAACGUACCAUACGAAUUAACGAUGGCCAAAUUCCUGGCCGCCACCCCGGUUAUACCGAAGGUGCCAACGUUAUUCCGAAUUAUUGGGUUUAAAGGGUCCCUAAGCCGACUCUUAAGUUAAUGGUGAAAUUUCCCAACUUAACUAUGAAACUGCCCUUUGAUCCGCCGGUCUUGGAUAAGGUAGAGAUUACUUGAAUAAUUAGUGGAGCGGUGAAAUGGCUAAAAUUUACUUAGAACAACCAUUUGCAAAGCAGGGUAACAUGUCAUAUCUGACGCUUAUUGAAGAAAGCAUGGGGGGGGGACAAGGAUAAAUUACCUGGUUGGUCACCCCCUAAACCAAGCUAACUCAUUUUUUGGUUUUUCGAAUCACAUACUAAACCAAAGUUGUUAAUUAUCCACCCUUGGGAGUUCGAUUCCAAGUAUGAACUUAUACGCAAUUUGCUCGGGGCCGCGCACACCCGCGGAAUCUGUUGGUUUAUUUCAUUAUACCGAGGAACCUUACCACGCUAAGUGGUAGAUGACAGACUAGAAGUAGGAUUUUCUUUCGACAAUUUCAAGUUCUGCAGGGUUGUCGUCGAUCGACCUUGCAGUGUCAGGUUAAUACUGCAACCACGGCACGCAUAGCUACUUGCUGCAUCUA